rnacentral:rRNA from 1 species
AUUGAACGCUGGCGGCAGGCUUAACACAUGCAAGUCGAGCGAGCGGCGGACGGGUGAGUAAUGUCUGGGAAACUGCCUGAUGGAGGGGGAAAACUACUGGAAAAGGUAGCUAAUAAUGCAUACCAUCAGAUGUGUCCAGAUGGGAUUAGCUAGUAGGUGGGGUAAUGGCUCAUCUGGGCGACGAUCAUUACCUGGUCUGAGAGGAGUACCAGCCAUAUUGGAACUGGUACACGGUCCAGACUCCUACGGGAGGCAGUAGUAGGUAAUAUUGGACAAUGGGCGAAAGCCUGAUGCAGCCAUGCCGCGUGUGUGAAGAAGGCCUUCGGUUUGUAAAGCACUUUCAGCGAGGAGGCGUUACUCGCAGAAGAAGCACCGGCUAACUCCGUGCCAGCAGCCGCGGUAAUUC